AGGAGCUGAACACUGUAUUAGUCAGUUGUUAAGGAGCUGAACACUGUAUUAGUCAGUUGUUAAGGAGCUGAACACUGUAUUAGUCAGUUGUUAAGGAGCUGAACACUGUAUUAGUCAGUUGUUAAGGAGCUUAACACUGUAUUAGUCAGUUGUUAAGGAGCUUAACACUGUAUUAGUCAGUUGUUAAGGAGCUUAACACUGUAUUAGUCAGUUGUUAAGGUGCUUAACACUGUAUUAGUCAGUUGUUAAGGUGCUGAACACUGUAUUAGUCAGUUGUUAAGGUGCUGAACACUGUAUUAGUCAGUUGUUAAGGUGCUGAACACUGUAUUAGUCAGUUGUUAAGGUGCUGAACACUGUAUUAGUCAGUUGUUAAGGUGCUGAACACUGUAUUAGUCAGUUGUUAAGGUGAUGAACACUGUAUUAGUCAGUUGUUAAGGAGCUGAACACUAUUUUUUAGCAGCUUUGAAACACUGUUUCUGUCACAAUGUACUUCACAGGCUGUAAUGGAAAAUCAAUAAACCUUAUCAUUGUUAGAACUCUUUUUUUUUUCUUUUCUUUUUUGUAUGUAAUAACUUACUUAAGGUUCUUUUAAAUGUUUGUAUUUUAACUUUCAUGUAAGAAGAGAAACUUUUGAUGGGAAUCAGUCAAAUAUUCUCCCCAAAAUAAUACAUUUGGCAUCAUGAAGAAAAUUCAUCAAGUAUUCUAAUGAAACUACAAAAAGUGACCCCAUAAUGGUGCACAUUUGAGGAAUGCAGUUUUAACCCUAACAUGAAUGCAUUAUGCAAGGUGUACUCAGUUUGUUUCAUUAGGUUGGAUUUCUUUUAGUGACACACACGUAUGUAUUUGGUCAAGCACCUUAUAGUAAUUAAUUAGAAAUAAGGUUAUUUUGAUAUACAUCACAGAUAUGUUAUCUUAAAAAACUCGGGAGAGUUGUGUGUAAAUCAUGUUGGCCACGUAUAUAUAUAUGUUUGAUAUCUCAGUAAUAGGAGGGUUAAAUAGUGUGUGAUUUAUUAAAGUUGCGCAUCUCAUCAAGUUAGGCUGAAAUUGAAUUAUUAACAGAUAUCUUUUACUUUAAAACCUAUUGGUAACUAGUUAGUAUCAUAAUACAUGUUGUCCUUUCUUUGACGAUUCAUCAAAAUAGUCAUUAGCAUGAGGAUGAAAUUUUAUCUAUUUUUCAAUAAUGUGGUGAUUGUUGGUGACUCCAAGUAUAGAAUUACUGUUCUGUGUAUGAUUUAUUAUGCAUAAAGUUCAAGUCCUAUUUGUACAACUUCCAAAAAUCAUUGCAUUUAAAUAAAGUUAUGGCUUAAUAAGCUUAUAAAGUCUUAA